rnacentral:rRNA from 1 species
GACGAACGCUGGCGGCGUGCCUAAUACAUGCAAGUCGAACGCUUCCUACCGGUGCUUGCACUGGGAAAGAAGAGUGGCGGACGGGUGAGUAACACGUGGGUAACCUACCUACAAGCGGGGGAUAACAUUCGGAAACGGAUGCUAAUACCGCAUAGAUCUUUUUGUCUCCUGGCAGAAAGAAGAAAGACGGUUUCGGCUGUCACUUGUAGAUGGACCCGCGGCGCAUUAGUUAGUUGGUGAGGUAAUGGCUCACAAAGACGAGGACGCGUAGCCGACCUGAGAGGGUGAUCGGCCACACUGGGACUGAGACACGGCCCAGACACCUACGGAAGGCAGCAGUAGGGAAUCUUCCGCAAUGGACGAAAGUCUGACGGAGCAACGCCGCGUGAGUGAAGAAGGUUUUCGGAUCGUAAAACUCUGUUGUUAGAGAAGAACAAGGAUGAGAGUAACUGCUCGUCCCUUGACGGUAUCUAACCAGAAAGCCAUGGCUAACUACGUGCCAGCCGCCGCCGUAA